GGAUCAUUACUGAGUUAUUCAAAACUCCCAACCCUUUGUGAACUUACCGUCGUUGCCUCGGCGCUGAGCGGCGGUUGCUCGAGGAUAGCUACCCUAAAGCGUUCUCACAGGACCUACCCUGUAAGAGCAUCUGGGAGCAGCUACCCUGUAGAAGCAGCCGCGCCACAACGCUCCGCCGGUGGACCAUUAAACUCUUGUUUCUUACGGCGUAUCUCUGAGCUUCUAAAACAAAAAUUGUUAAAACUUUCAACAACGGAUCUCUUGGUUCUGGCAUCGAUGAAGAACGCAGCGAAAUGCGAUAAGUAAUGUGAAUUGCAGAAUUCAGUGAAUCAUCGAAUCUUUGAACGCAUAUUGCGCCCAUUAGUAUUCUAGUGGGCAUGCCUAUGCGAGCGUCAUUUCAACCCUUAAGCCUCUGUUGCUUAGCGUUGGGACGCUGCGUCCUCAGGGCGCAGCUCCUUAAAGUUAGUGGCGGUGUUAGGUACACUCGUGGCGUAGUAAUUCUCUCUCGCUUCUGCAGUGGCCCUGGCUACCGGCCGUUAAACCCACCCUGAACUUAUAGUGGUUGACCUCGUAUUAGGUAGGAAUACCCGCUGAACUUAAGCAUAUCAAUAAGCGGAGGAAAAGAAACCAACAGGGAUUGCCCUAGUAACGGCGAGUGAAGCGGCAACAGCUCAAAUUUGAAAUCUGGCCCUCGCGGUCCGAGUUGUAAUUUGCAGAGGAUGCUUUUGGUGCGGUGCCUUCCGAGUUCCCUGGAACGGGACGCCAGAGAGGGUGAGAGCCCCGUACGGUUGGACACCUACCCUAUAUAUAGCUCCUUCGACGAGUCGAGUAGUUUGGGAAUGCUGCUCUAAAUGGGAGGUAAAUUUCUUCUAAAGCUAAAUACCGGCCAGAGACCGAUAGCGCACAAGUAGAGUGAUCGAAAGAUGAAAAGCACUUUGAAAAGAGGGUUAAAUAGCACGUGAAAUUGUUGAAAGGGAAGCGUUUGCGACCAGACCUUUUCUGGGCGGAUCAUCCGGUGUUCUCACCGGUGCACUUUGCCCAGUUUAGGCCAGCAUCGGUUUUCGUAGGGGGAUAAAGGCUUGGGGAAAGUAGCUCCCUCGGGAGUGUUAUAGCCCCUUGCGUAAUACCCUUACGGGGACCGAGGACCGC
rnacentral:rRNA from 1 species